GGCGUCAACCCCUGGCAGGCGGAAGCCAUGGUAGUAGCGCUAGAGCUCGUCCUGUACCCUCCGUCUCAGCAGACUUCUUCAGUGCCACCGGGGCCGCCAGGCUCUACAUCCUCCAGCUUUUUGUCCUUGACCUUCAGGGACUGGAGUCAUCGCUGAGAGGGGGCGAUACCGGCCUCCCCGACGAACACACCGGCUGCAGCGGGAGUCCACGGCACUCCUGCCACCAUACACAGGCGCUCAGGCCUCGGCUUCCGGCGGCCGCAGGACUUGGCUCUGAGGCACAGGUCUGCAGUCCCUGAUGAAUAAUGAGCUCUGAGCAAAGUAAACUUGGCACUAUGUCAGUGGUCUCCACAUAGCUCCCCUCAGCUGAAACAUGGAAGUCCGGCAUGGUGACACGUGUCUCUAGCCCCAGCAUUCCAAAGAAUCGCAAGCUUGAGCCCAGCCUGGGAAACUUAGUGACUUUGUGAGACCCUAUCUCAAAAAAAAAAAGAAAAAAGAGGGGCCUGGAAUUGUAGCUCAGUUGAAGGCUCUGGGUUCAAUCCCCGGUGUCACAAACAAACAAAUAAAAAACCAAGAAAAUAUAGGAAGAGCUUGUCCCAGGGGUUCACUCCAGGUCCUGUUCUUCCGCACAGUGGACUCCUGCUGGAUGUGGUGUUGCUAUCUGACUGGACACUCAAGCUGUUUAGUGGGAGAUCUCUCAUCCUCAGUGGCAGCAUGGACCCCAGUGCCAAGGAACUCCCAGAAGACAAAGUUACACGUAAUCAACUUCAGCCCCAAACAGACCAAAAAGCCCUCAUUCUAGGGACAUAGGCCAUGUCCCCCAAGAGGCGGAAGGAAGGGGAAUGGAAUAUGUUCCAGGAUAAUUCCACUGAAUGCUCCAACUCUGCUGUUUGCCAGGGGGGCUCAGCCUUUGGCUGUGCUUUUCAGGUGCAUCUCAGGGACUCCUCAGGGGCUCAGUGCCUCCUCUCCUGGG
rnacentral:lncRNA from 1 species